rnacentral:rRNA from 1 species
AUACGUAGGGAGCGAGCGUUGUCCGGAAUUACUGGGCGUAAAGGGCGCGUAGGCGGCGCUUCAAGUCGUCUGUCAAAUGGGAGGGCUUAACCCUUUUUCGCAGACGAAACUGGAGAGCUUGAGAAGCAGAGAGGCAAACAGAAUUCCUGGUGUAGCGGUGAAAUGCGUAGAUAUCAGGAAGAAUACCAGUGGCGAAGGCGGUUUGCGGGCUGCAUACUGACGCUGAAGCGCGAAAGCCAGGGGAGCGAACGGGAUUAGAUACCCCGGUAGUCCUGGCAGUAAACGAUGUAUGCUGGGUGUGAGACUAGCGAUAGUUUCGUGCCGAAGUUAACGCGAUAAGCAUACCGCCUGGGGAGUACGGUCGCAAGAUUGAAACUCAAAGGAAUUGGCGGGG